rnacentral:lncRNA from 1 species
AUAACUCAAUUCUUAAUUUUUCUGUGCAAAAACAAAGGUCAGAGACCAGUGUAAACUGCAACAAAAAAAAAAACGAAGGUCAUAGACCAGUGUAAACUGCAAUUUCUUGGGUUUCCUUAGCAUUUAUAGACUCCUACAAGAUUACCCUCACUUGAAGGAAAAAUUUUCACCCAAAGCACACUUGCCCUCAUCGUGCCUCCCUACGUAAUCUUCUUCUCCCAAUCCAAGGUCUCGCAACUCCUUUCUUCAAUGACCUCAACUCUCCUUCCGCCAGGGCUCUCGCUCACGAUUCUACGGGUAAUCAGCUGCAAUUUUAACAGUAAUUUCAAGGGAUUGGGGUUAGGGAUUGCUUCUUGGCCCUAAUUUUACCCCAACUAGUCAAUUUGGGAAAGAACUAAGGCCAGCGAGUCAUUUUUAUUGAUUGGAUUUAUCCGGCAAGCCAUGUCAACAGAUAAAUAAUAAAUUAACGCUAUGUCGGAAUUUUUCGGUAAUGAAAAUCUUCAUGACACUUAAGUAAUUUUAUUUUUAUUUUUUUCAUAAAGAGGUUCUCAAGUGCUUGCUCAAGAAGUUUUGACAAUGAAGUGCCCGUCGUACAAAAUUUAUGGCAUUUCUUAUGUCCUUUCCCCUAUUAAGGUAUAACAUGGAGGAAUGAAGGGAUACGUCACCACACAAUCAAAUGUGAAGUUAUCUAUUGUCUUAAGUUUGCUGAGAUGCUGUAAUUUAACAUGUAAGAGGAAAUCACAAGUUGAAUUAGAUAAUCGUGAUUGGGUGUUCAUCUCUAACACUACCUAUUUAGCAUGGCGGUGGCGGUACACUUACUGGAAAUUGAACAGUUAUGUCUUCAACUAAAGAUUCACACGAGACUUAUGUCUUCAACUGCAAAGUUUAGGAGAACGCAGAAGUUCUAAUGAAAGAAAGCUUACGGAAGGUCCGGACCUCCGGUCACCCCACAUGCUGUUCCAAAAAAGGAAAGGAGAACUUAGGCUUAUUUGUACCUGUUAGCAUAUACCAUAUAUUAUGACAAGUAAGCCGAGCCUUUAAAAGAAAUAUUCAUAGUGAACACAUAAGGUGGUGAUUAUUUGGGGUGAACAUUACCUGAAAUAUCAUAGGACCUUGCCCAUCUUAUGCGAGACUUGACGUGUUACGAGAUAAGUGUUGAAAACUUGAAAUUCCACAUUUACCUUGCGAGGGAAGCACCAUCACAGUCAAAUCCCAGAGCGGCCAAUUCAAUGAAGCGGGUUGAUUCCAUCUCAUCAUUUUCCACUCUCCGGCGUGCCAUGUCUAUGGCCAAACGCUCCUUCAGUUUAGCUAGAUGUGACUUGCGUCUGGCCUCUUAAUUGCAGAUGGCGAAGCACAUCUUCACGACUUGCCAAGUCGACAAAUCUGGGGUCCGCAAUGCUCUACGUCU